rnacentral:tRNA from 1 species
GGUCGAGUUCGGCGGUGAACAGGUCCUGUUUGCGACGGGACAGGCCGGACACGGUCAACGCGCCCGGUUCGUCGUCGGGCUCGCCCUC